rnacentral:tRNA from 1 species
GGUCGGUUAGCUCAGUUGGUUAGAGCUCUUGACUUACAUUCAAGGGGCCGCAGGUUCGAGUCCUGCACCGACCACCA